GACGAACGCUGGCGGCGUGCUUAACACAUGCAAGUCGAACGGAAAGGCCCCUUUGGGGGUACUCGAGUGGCGAACGGGUGAGUAACACGUGAGUAACCUGCCCUUGACUUCGGGAUAACUUCAGGAAACUGGGGCUAAUACCGGAUAGGCAUCCUUGCUGCAUGGUGGGGGUUGGAAAGCUUCGGCGGUUUUGGAUGGACUCGCGGCUUAUCAGCUUGUUGGUUGGGUAGUGGCUUACCAAGGCUUUGACGGGUAGCCGGCCUGAGAGGGCUACCGGCCACAUUGGGACUGAGAUACGGCCCAGACUCCUACGGGAGGCAGCAGUGGGGAAUAUUGCACAAUGGGCGGAAGCCUGAUGCAGCAACGCCGCGGGCGGGAUGACGGCCUUCGGGUUGUAAACCGCUUUCAGCAGGGGCGAAGCUUGUGGUGACGGUACCUGCAGAAGAAGCACCGGCUAACUACGUG
rnacentral:rRNA from 1 species